rnacentral:lncRNA from 1 species
AGCAAUUAAGUAUAUAAGCUGACUUCAAAAUAAACACCCAUAAAUAUUUAUUUUAGAUACAAAAGGAACCAUUGGCUACAUAUCAUUCUGUAAUCUCAUGGAGUGGUAGUAAAUGAUGAAUGUUUCUCAAUGCCAAUGUAAACAGAACAUGAAUAUCCUUUUACAUAGUGUCAUAAGAUUCCCUUCCAUGAAAUGCAAUAAUUGAACUAACCCUCUAUUGAAAAAUAUUUAUUUCCUUUUUUGGCUAUUAGAAAUAAUGUUAAAAUUCUUGUAGAUAUAACUCAUCCCACGUGCCUUUGAUUUCCUUGUUAUAUAUACUUAGANNNNNNNNNNNNNNNNNNNNNNNAUAUGUGUAUUAAACUUAGAUACAUAUUACAAAACAGCCUCUAGAAAAAUUUUACUUAUCUGUCUUCCCACUACAGUGAAAAUAAGAUGUUCAAUUCAUGCUCACUGAUACGGGGUAUUUUCAAAACCAUUUUUCUCUUUUCUAAUCUGCUAACAAAGGCUUACAUUCACAGCCAGCAAAUACCAAAAAAAAAAAAAAAAAGACUUCCUGCUUUCAGCAAUCAUUUGGUAUGAUCCUAACACUUGUGCACAUAUCUAGGCGAUGAGACAGGCUGGGACCUGGGACCCUUCACAGAAGUGUUUGCACCUGGACAAAAGUCCCUUGCAGCAACAGAAUAUAAGGGACUAAAACUUACCUUACACAGGCCAGGUGCAGUUGGAGCAAAUUAUGAACAGUGAGAUUGAAAAAGGCCACAAACAACUGCUACUUCUGAGGCACUGAGAGCAGAAGCAGGGUACUGCCAUGAUCCCUGCACACAGCACCACUGAGGGGGUGGAGAGAGCAGGUAACGCCGCCCUCCAUCCUGACCCACCAAUCCUCGCCCACCCUCACACCUGACCCGGUCCCCUGCCCUGCACCCCCAGGAGCGAGCAAGGGUAUGGGUUACUGCUUUCCCAUGUGCUGCAGCAUGAGUCCCAGUAAAGCCCUGCAUGAAUUUCACCUGGCCUCUUAUCAAUUCUGUUGAACAAAGAGGCCGAAAACCCAGGUCAGUUACAGAAAGACAAACACUUUUAACCAAAGACAAUGUCCCCUAGUGAUAAUAAAUGAACACGGGGUAAUCUUUCACCCAUAAUUAUUUAGAGUGAUUCUGGGUGGGCAGGU